GUGCCAGCAGCCGCGGUAAUACGAAGGGGGCUAGCGUUGUUCGGAAUCACUGGGCGUAAAGCGUACGUAGGCGGAUCGUUAAGUCAGGGGUGAAAGCCUGGAGCUCAACUCCAGAACUGCCUUUGAUACUGGCGAUCUUGAGACCGGGAGAGGUGAGUGGAACUGCUAGUGUAGAGGUGAAAUUCGUAGAUAUUAGCAAGAACACCAGUGGCGAAGGCGGCUCACUGGCCCGGUACUGACGCUGAGGUACGAAAGCGUGGGGAGCAAACAGGAUUAGAUACCCUGGUAGUCC
rnacentral:rRNA from 1 species